rnacentral:snRNA from 1 species
GGAUGUGAGGCUGUGACAUCGGUCACCCCAUUGCUGGCCUAGAUUUAUUUGGCUGAUCUGACUGUCUAGGCACAUGUCCCCUUCCUGCCUCACUGUGCUCCAUGUGCGUCCCUCCUCAAGCUGCACUCAAAGAGACGGACUUCUGGAAUAGAGAUGGACUGGUCUUCGUCAAGGUACACAAGUAGCUGUGCUCCCCUGCUAGACUCAAACAAGCUACUCAUAUGAAAUAGUUAAGAGGGUUGGGGAGAUAGAAGUAGACUGGACUCACCCCUGGUAUGUGGUUUGACGGUGGUCCAUGUGAAGUUAUGUCACAGUCCACCAGGUC